AUUGAACGCUGGCGGCAUGCCUUACACAUGCAAGUCGAACGGUAACGGGCCUUCGGGUGCCGACGAGUGGCGAACGGGUGAGUAAUGCAUCGGAACGUACCUUUCAGUGGGGGAUAACGUAGCGAAAGUUACGCUAAUACCGCAUAUUCUGUGAGCAGGAAAGCAGGGGAUCGCAAGACCUUGCGCUGAUUGAGCGGCCGAUGUCAGAUUAGCUAGUUGGUGAGGUAAAGGCUCACCAAGGCGACGAUCUGUAGCGGGUCUGAGAGGAUGAUCCGCCACACUGGAACUGAGGCACGGUCCAGACUCCUACGGGAGGCAGCAGUGGGGAAUUUUGGACAAUGGGGGCAACCCUGAUCCAGCCAUGCCGCGUGAGUGAAGAAGGCCUUCGGGUUGUGAAGCUCUUUCGGCCGGGAAGAAAUCGCACAGGCUAAUACCUUGUGUGGAUGACGGUACCGGAAUAAGAAGCACCGGCUAACUACGUGCCAGCAGCCGCCGUAAAAC
rnacentral:rRNA from 1 species